GUUAUGGUUUUGGUGACAUUCAACAAUAAGAAGAGCUAAACCGGAGCUAGUUCAAUUAGCGUCUUGGUACAAGGUUAUAAGAAGGUGAUAACCGGGAUGGUUAUUGGAAUCGGCUUAUGACAUAAGUGUACCGGUCUUCUUUAUAUAUAGAAGAAGAAAGGUGAUGUCAAUCUAUUGAGAGUCAGCUGAUUUGAGCUGAGAGAGAAAGGUUGUUACAGAAUCAGAGAGAGAAAGAAGAUCGUUUCUUGAGUGUGCUGUACUUGUAUCAUCUCUUGAUCAUCUUCUUUGUAAAGACUCUUGGAGUGAUUAGUGAAACCUUUUGCUUGUGCCGUCAAGCCCCAGAUGUAAAGGAUCCACAUUGGAUCCCGAACUGGGUUACCAAAUUCUCUGUGUCUUUCUUUACGUUUUCUUUAGAG
rnacentral:lncRNA from 1 species